rnacentral:rRNA from 1 species
UACGUAGGGUGCAAGCGUUGUCCGGAAUUAUUGGGCGUAAAGAGCUCGUAGGCGGUUUGUCACGUCGGAUGUGAAAACUCGGGGCUCAACCCCGAGCCUGCAUUCGAUACGGGCAGACUUGAGUUCGGCAGGGGAGACUGGAAUUCCUGGUGUAGCGGUGAAAUGCGCAGAUAUCAGGAGGAACACCGGUGGCGAAGGCGGGUCUCUGGGCCGAUACUGACGCUGAGGAGCGAAAGCGUGGGGAGCGAACGGG